rnacentral:rRNA from 1 species
UGGUGGGUAGUUUGACUGGGGCGGUCUCCUCCUAAAGAGUAACGGAGGAGCACGAAGGUUGGCUAAUCCUGGUCGGACAUCAGGAGGUUAGUGCAAUGGCAUAAGCCAGCUUGACUGCGAGCGUGACGGCGCGAGCAGGUGCGAAAGCAGGUCAUAGUGAUCCGGUGGUUCUGAAUGGAAGGGCCAUCGCUCAACGGAUAAAAGGUACUCCGGGGAUAACAGGCUGAUACCGCCCAAGAGUUCAUAUCGACGGCGGUGUUUGGCACCUCGAUGUCGGCUCAUCACAUCCUGGGGCUGAAGUAGGUCCCAAGGGUAUGGCUGUUCGCCAUUUAAAGUGGUACGCGAGCUGGGUUUAGAACGUCGUGAGACAGUUCGGUCCCUAUCUGCCGUGGGCGCUGGAGAACUGAGGGGGGCUGCUCCUAGUACGAGAGGACCGGAGUGGACGCAUCACUGGUGUUCGGGUUGUCAUGCCAAUGGCACUGCCCGGUAGCUAAAUGCGGAAGAGAUAAGUGCUGAAAGCAUCUAAGCACGAAACUUGCCCCGAGAUGAGUUCUCCCUGACUCCUUGAGAGUCCUGAAGGAACGUUGAAGACGACGACGUUGAUAGGCCGGGUGUGUAAGCGCAGCGAUGCGUUG